CUCCUACGGGAGGCAGCAGUGGGGAAUAUUGGACAAUGGGCGCAAGCCUGAUCCAGCCAUACCGCGUGGGUGAAGAAGGCCUUCGGGUUGUAAAGCCCUUUUGUUGGGAAAGAAAUCCUGCCGGUUAAUAACCAGUAGGGAUGACGGUACCCAAGGAAUAAGCACCGGCUAACUUCGUGCCAGCAGCCGCGGUAAUACGAAGGGUGCAAGCGUUACUCGGAAUUACUGGGCGUAAAGCGUGCGUAGGUGGUUGUUUAAGUCUGUCGUGAAAGCCCUGGGCUCAACCUGGGAAUUGCGAUGGAUACUGGGCAACUAGAGUGUGGUAGAGGAUAGUGGAAUUUCCGGUGUAGCAGUGAAAUGCGUAGAGAUCGGAAGGAACAUCUGUGGCGAAGGCGACUAUCUGGGCCAACACUGACACUGAGGCACGAAAGCGUGGGGAGCAAA
rnacentral:rRNA from 1 species